rnacentral:rRNA from 1 species
UGAUCUUCCCGUGCAGAAGCGGGAAUAUAAACAUAAGACGAGAAGACCCUAUGGAGCUUUAGACACAAGAGCAGAGCACGUCAAACGCCCCUAAGCAAGGGCCAAAACCUAAUGCACCCCCUGCCCUAAUGUCUUUGGUUGGGGCGACCGCGGCGAAAAAUUUAACCUCCGCGUGGACCGGGAGCACUUUCUUAUUUUCUCCUACACCCAAGAGCCACAGCUCUAAGUAACAGAACUUUUGACCUUUCAUGAUCCGGCAAAGCCGAUCAACGAACCGAGUUACCCUAGGGAUAACAGCGCAAUCCUCUUCUAGAGCCCAUAUCGACAAGAGGGUUUACGACCUCGAUGUUGGAUCAGGACAUCCUAAUGGUGCAGCCGCUAUUAAGGGUUCGUUUGUUCAACGAUUAAAGUCCUACGUGAUCUGAGUUCAGACCGGACG